CUACGGGACGCAGCAGUGAGGAAUAUUGCACAAUGGGGGGAACCCUGAUGCAGCAACGCCGCGUGGAGGAUGACGCAUUUCGGUGUGUAAACUCCUUUUAUAUGUCAAGAAAAUGACGGUAGCAUAUGAAUAAGCACCGGCUAACUCCGUGCCAGCAGCCGCGGUAAUACGGAGGGUGCAAGCGUGUACUCGGAAUCACUGGGCGUAAAGGACGCGUAGGCGGGUUGGAAAGUCAGGUGUGAAAUCCUACAGCUUAACUGUAGAACUGCACUUGAAACUUCUAAUCUAGAGUAUGGGAGGGGGAGAUGGAGUUAGUGGUGUAGGGGUAAAAUCCGUAGAUAUCACUAGGAAUACCUAAAGCGAAGGCGAUCUCCUGGAACAUUACUGACGCUAAGGCGUGAAAGCGUGGGGAGCAAACAGGAUUAGAUACCCUUGUAGUC
rnacentral:rRNA from 1 species